AGUGGUCCAGAAGAAUGGAUUGGUAUCUAACAAUGGAUUGAUUUGUUGUUGGAGGGAAAGAAAACGAAUUAGAAUUCACUUUCGUUGCUGCACAAGUGCUGAUGACUAAUGCUCUGCUUUUGUUACUUAUGCUUGUUUGUUGCGCCUUAUAUAAGGUAAUGGUAGGCUGAAGCCCACACGACUGAAACAAAUGGAAAACUCUUAACCCAUUGGAGGCUAAAGCAGCAGCGCAUAUAAAAUGGGCAUUGCCAGAGAGAAUCUAUAAUGGACGAUGAAAUUGAAAUGGAA
rnacentral:misc_RNA from 1 species